GACGAACGCUGGCGGCGUGCCUAAUACAUGCAAGUCGAACGGUCUUUUCUAUGGAGGCUUGCUUCCACUGAGAAGAUAGUGGCGAACGGGUGAGUAACACGUGGGUAACCUGCCCAUAAGAGGGGGAUAACAUCCGGAAACGGGUGCUAAUACCGCAUAGUUUUCUUGAUCGCAUGAUUGAGAAAGGAAAGACGGCCUUUGUGCUGUCGCUUAUGGAUGGACCCGCGGCGUAUUAGUUAGUUGGUGAGGUAACGGCUCACCAAGACGAUGAUACGUAGCCGACCUGAGAGGGUGAUCGGCCACAUUGGGACUGAGACACGGCCCAAACUCCUACGGGAGGCAGCAGUAGGGAAUCUUCCGCAAUGGACGAAAGUCUGACGGAGCAACGCCGCGUGAGUGAAGAAGGUUUUCGGAUCGUAAAACUCUGUUGUCAGAGAAGAACAAGUCGGAGAGUAACUGCUCCGGCCUUGACGGUAUCUGACCAGAAAGCCACAGCUAACUACGUGCCAGCCGCCGCGGUAAGAC
rnacentral:rRNA from 1 species